UACAUGGGGUGCAAACGUUGCUCGGAAUUAUUGGGCGUAAAGCGCACGUAGGUGGUCUGUUAUGUCAGAUGUGAAAGCCCUCGGCUUAACUGAGGAAGUGCACCUGAAACUGGCAGGCUUGAGUACGAAAGAGGGUCGCGGAAUUCCCGGUGUAGAGGUGAAAUUCGUAGAUAUCGGGAGGAACACCGGUGGCGAAAGCGGCGCACUGGACCACUUCUGACGCUGAGGCGCGAAAGCUAGGGGAGCAAACAGG
rnacentral:rRNA from 1 species